ACCCAACAGAUGGUUCUUCUUAAGGCAUCGUUGUCAGUUUAUAGUUCUUGCAGUGUUCAUUUUAAUAUUUUAAUGACAUUAUAGCCAAUUUUAUUCUGUCUUGGAAGUUAAUUUCUCCUCUCUCUGUUUGUUUCUCUCCCUUCCCUCCCUCCGUCUCUCUCUCUCCCCCUCCUCCCCUCUCCCUAUUCCUCUGAUUAUUUCUUUUGGAAAUAAUUCCCCUCUCACUCUGUCUCCAUAAAUCUCUGAAUCCCAGCAGAUGGAACAAGGCUGCUAUUAGGAGGGAACGGAAUCAACAGGCAAGCGGCAAGUGGGAGGCGAGCUUUACGCUCUGCGGUUUCGCCCUCGUCGGAAGACGUGGUGACAGGGCCAGAACAAAAGGUUCAUCUUUUCGUUUAUUUUCACUUCUCAGGAGACCCCAGUCCCAGGGUCUUUUUAUUAGAGAACUGUUCUGGCCCCUUUGGCUCCGCACACAGACCUUUGAGCCUCCCACAUCCUGGUAUGCUCCUGCCUCACAGACCACAUUUUUACACACACACACACACACACACACACACACACACACACACACACACACACAACCACACACACACAAAACCUAAAUCUGUACUGGCUGACUGCUAGCAAAAUAAAACAACUCUUAGCUGUUAAUUUGGCUCCUUCUUUCUGUUUUCACACCUUAAUUGAGAUAUAAUUUACAUGCCAUAAAAUUCACCCAUUUCAAGCGUGUCAUUCAAUGGUUUUUAGUUUAUUUACCCAGUUGUAUAUAGGCUGUUUCUUUUUGAAAAUGGAGCCACUGGGUGAACGGUUUGACCCCAUGUGCUCCCUCCUCACUUUGAAAGGUGACAUCUAAGGAGCAGAGAGCAGAUUCUGUUUCACUCCCCAAAAUAGUUGUUUUAUUCAUUCUGCCAUUUACAACUUACUUCCUGUGUUUUGAUUGAGCUGCUCGGGCCUGCUUCUUAGAAGCCAGAUCUUAAGGAAAAGGAUGCUGGGACGCGUUGUUUCCGGUCAGCUCUGAAAUGCUUACCAGCGGGAGGGGCACGCUGGCAGGCCAGCCAUGGCAGACCUCACCCGAACAGAGCGAGGAAAAGGCAAGCUGGAAAACCCGCACUGGGGCGAUUUCGCGAAGAGGAGAGCAGCCUGAUGUUUUUCAUCUGAAUCCUUAGGCCUCGCUCCAGCCCCACAAAGACAAGUGGCAGGAAGCUAACAGCGAUAAUCGAAUGAGCUCAGCCAGCCUCAAAGUGGUUCUUUUUAAAAAGUGUGUGUGUGGAGGGGAGGAAUUACAGGCUCUCUGCCCAGGAGAAGCGAGAGAGAAAAGAAAUGCACUCUCCUAGAAAUCCCUGAAGUUGGCCGCCAGUGAUUCAGUCCAUACCUGCCCCAAAAAAGAAAAUUUCCUACCUAACUGGUUUGGCUGUUUCCUGGCUACUAACUGGAGAGGUAAAUAGAACCUUAUCACGGCAGUUACAUCUGACUUGGACAUGAUUUUCAAGUAAACACUGGUAAUUUCAAUGCUAUUCCAUUACCCCCUCUACUGUCUUUGGACUGACUGACAACACCGUCUCGGAUGAAACCGACUCUAUAGGAACAAGCCAGGAAAGACUGCACCUUCUACCCAGCUGGCCUCUGUGUGGCCACUGGGCGGGGCUGGGGGAGUAUGUGGGGACGUUCGCUGUGAGUGACAGGGGCUCUGCAGUUAUCUCGUCAGAUUGUAGCUGAAUGGACACAUGUCCUUCCUUUGCCCUCUGGGCCCCUCCAGUGGGUUAGUCGGGAUUUCUGCUAUUUGCUUUGCACUCUUCAGCGAAUCCAACACUGGGCAUUUAUUUCUCUGUCUCUCUCUUCAUUCAGGAAGUGGCAAGCUGAGCCCUGAGAUUCUUUCUGCUCCGAUGAUAUAAACAAAUUGCAGAGGAAGUCAAGUCAAACUUUCCCUUGCUUCUUUUGUUCUCCCAACUAGCAAUUCAGAAAACAGAGCCAAAUUUUUUUUUUUGGAUGCCUUUAAAGAUUGCUUGUAACUGGAAAGGCAGAAACUCUUAUGGUUCUUUUUUUUUUUUUGAUUGAAGUAUAGUCGGUUACAAUGUGUCAAUUUCUGGUGUACAGCACAAUGUCCCAGUCAUGCAUAUACACGCAUAUAUUUGUUUUCAUUUUUUUAAAAAAAAAACAACUUAUUUUAUUUGUACUCCUAAACGUUUUCAAAAAAGCAGGAAGUGCCCUAGAAGGUUGUUUUGGACUUUUUCUUAAGGCUCUUUUUGAGAUUUUUUUCAAACCAAAUUGCUCCCUUGACAUUGCAGUUACCUAAGUGUUCUUUCCUACAAAUUUCAACCAAAAGAGCAAUAAGGAGCUUUGCGUGGACAAUGGCUAAACCUGAUUUGGAGGUAUCUGGUGCCCGAAUUCACAGCCAAGGAGACCUAACAGUCAUGAUUCAAUAAGCUUACCAGUCCAAAGUACCCACCAGACAGAAAGGAGACAUCUUAUCUGUGUAAUCUACAGAUACUGCUUGAAAAAUCACACGUAAUUAAGCCCUUCUUCCAGUGGGAGCUCCUUGAAGCUUUAUCACCAGCUUGUCAGAUGUCAUCUCUGAGUUUCAUUGAUGGCUCUGAGAGUGAACAUUUCCAAACCAGAGGCACCUGAUAAUCCAGGUGACAUGUUUACCACGCCUAGUCUAGUCAGCUAAUAAAAGCAGCUCUGCACUCCACAACUGAAGGAAAAUAGAAUGGUGGAGAGAGAAAAAGAGAUUUGCAGGGUGGCUUCCCACACUGGCUGUUCUGUUACGUUAAUCCUGUUGCAAGAUAUAAGAUGUGACAGUCAUCCGGAUAUCUGUGUGCCUCCUUGGUCCUCGGGUGGCCCUGUCUGUACACAGGCAUGCAUUUCCCUUGAGCAACAUCAGAUGAGAAAGUGAGUUCGUUUCCAUUGCAGGGGAGUCAAACAGAAAACCCAGAGGCGGCGACUUGCGUGGAGGCCUCCCAGGUCCUGGAUGGUGUGUGUGAUGCAGGAAAUACUCCCCUCCCACUCCUGCUUUGGAUGGGACAUACUUCCUUGCCCCACUGAGUCCGGGCUCGGUCAUGUGACUUUGUUGGCUAAUAGGCUGUCAGCCUGCAGGGCGCAAGCAAAGCCUUGAAAGGCGUUCGCACCGUGGGUCUCCCCUUUUUGCGGGUCCCACGUUGCCCUGGGAAGCACAUGCCUGUUCAUCUGAGGAGGAUGAGAGACACCUAGAGCAGACCUGGCUGCAACCCACACCUUGAAGCCCAGCCCAGCCUAGAUCAUCUGAAAACCAGCCAAGUUGUAGAUGCUUUUAGAGCCCUCAAAUUGUAAAAUCUUCAAGGCCUACCGACUUGGAAUGAGCUCUGAUUAAGCACCUACCAGAUGAGCCAGACAUAUCUGGAUGCUAGAAAUACAGCCCUGAAUGGAACAGACACUUGGCCUUAACACAUGUCCACAUGCUGACACGCCUUUGAAAGGCAGAGUCCUCUCCCCUUGAGUUCAGGCUGGACCUCGGGACUUGUUUCUAAGGAGCAGAAUCCCGUGCAGAUGACACUGGGCAACAUCCAAGACUAGCCCUAAGAUACGCUGCAGUUUCUUCCUUGCUCUUUCCCUCUGGAAGGCAUCAGCAUCAUGGAAAAGUCCACAUGGGGAGGAACUGAGGCCUCCAGCCGACAGCCAUGUGAGCGUGCAUCUUAGACGCAGGUCCUCCAACGCCAGUCAAGCCUGCAGAUGUUGGCAGCCUCGACCAACAUCUCAACUGUAUCGUGACUGCUUACGAGAGGCCUUGAGCCAGAACCAUCCAUCCAGACUGUUCUCAGUGACUCCUGACCUCAAAGUGUGGGAGGCAAGAAGUGUCUGUUCUUUUCAGCUGCUAAGUUUUGGGGUUGUUUGUUACAUAGCAAGAGAUAAAUACACCAACAAGAGUCCUGGCUUCAUGAUUCACAUUCUGAUGUUUGUUCAAUGGGCACUGAAUAAACGUUUUUUGAGAAAUUGAUGAAUGACAGUAAAUUAAAUAAAUGUAUCAAAUUAUCAUCAUCCAUUCGUUUACCUAAUAUUUAUUGAGCUGCACCUUAUAUUGAUCUGUGUUCUAGGCAUCAAGCUAGAACAAUAAAUGAGAAAGAAAAACCCUCCCCUCAUGGGGCUUCCAGUCUGGUAGAAAACCAGGUUUCUGCUCUGUCGCUGAUGCUCACUCACUGCAGGAUGCUGGAACCACGCCUCCGUUUCCCAGGUGCGCUCUCGGUACUAGAAGGAAUAUGUCAUAACCCGACAGCAAACGAUCUCUGCAAAAGCAAAAUGGCCUGAAUUCUGCUAAAAAACAAUCUGUUUUCUGUACCCAUGGCAGAGAACAAAAUGCAAAGAGAACACGGAGAAAGACUGAACACAGCCGGCGGUUCCCUAAUUUCCAAGGACGACCUGUGGUCUUCGAACGUGGCCCCCCGGUCUUCAUGUCCCCUGGGAUGAGGGCUGGCCUGGUGACUUUCUAACAGACAGACAUGGUGGAGCAUCACUUCGUAAUUAGGGGACCGAGGACCGGGACGUCCACCUUGCUCACAGAUUCCAUCACCUGCUCAGCUUGUACGCUUUGAUGAAGCAAGUGGCCCUGCUGGGAACCUCCUGUGGCAAAGAGCUGAGGGAGGCCUCUGAUCAGCAGCAAGAAAAGACCUGAGGUCCUUAAUCCAACAGCCCUCGAGGAAGCCCAUGUACCAACAGCCACAAGAACUUGGAGGCAGAUUCUUCUCCAGCUGGGCUUUCAGAUGAGACCUCAGACUACACCGACACCUUGAAUGCAGGCUUGUGGGAGACCCAGUGAAGCAGGGUCCAGAUUCCCAUCCACAGAAACCGUGAGAAAAUAACUGUGCCUUGUUAUAAGCUGCUAUGGGCAGGGAGGAUAUUUUGUUACACAGCAAAAGAUAACGAAUACAAACCAACCCAGUCAACCCAUAAUAAAGAGGAAGAAAGGAAAGAGCUGGAUCAGGAGCUAGCAUCUCUGGACUCUGGCCACAUUUUGCCACCCAACUACAUCAGUGGUCUUAGAAAAGGCAUUUCCCUUUCUUGCCUCAAUUUCUUCUUCUAUAAAAGACAAGGGUUAAAUUGGGGAUUGUAAUUUUCUGUAGUUUUUCUCCUUAAAAGUCUUGUGAUGUUCCACCCUGGGCUCACAUUCUACUCAGCAACAAUCAGUAUUAGACAGACACUGUCCUCAUGAACAGGGAUGGGGUUUCCGCUCACCCCAGGCCUCACCCGGAUCAGGCAUGGCAGGUGAGGCCGUGGUCCUGAAGCAAUGACCCCUUGCAGUAGGCUGGUUCUUCUGAGGAGCAGACCGGCAGACGCCAAGUUGGGGGAAAACACGCAAGACAUUUCCUGGGGGAAACUCAUAGGACAGGAACGUGGGGAGGGAGCCAGAGGGGAGGAAUGAGACCGCAGCUCUGGUCUGACCCCUGCAGAGGAGAGAAGAAGAGAGAACCGGUGGGUAGGGGGAGUCUGAGACUGUGGCGCAGUUCUAAGAGAGUUCUGGCAAAGCCCAUGCCUCCCAGAAGGGAGCCUGCUUUAGUACCCGGGUCGCAAGCAGCCGCUGGAAAGGAGUAACCUGAAGGAGACGUGGGCUCAGCACAAAUGUGGAUUUCAGAGCAGGCAUCCGGGCCCCCGGGCAAUUACAGCCCCUGCCCUGGGAGCCCCGAGAGGCACAUGUCCAUGGCUUCCACGUCCCCUGGGGUUCCUUUUAGUCUAAAAAUCCCACCCAAAUGUGGGGCCAACAGGAUGAACAUGGUCUGCAGAUGCAUUUUGAUUGGCUUGUGGUGUUUAAUAAAAGACACAAAUGAACUUACAGAACAGAAACAGACUCACAGUCAUAGAAAACAAACUUAUGGUUACUGGAGGGAGGAGGUGGGAAGGGAUAAAAUGGGAGUUCCAGAUUUGCAGAU